rnacentral:rRNA from 1 species
GAUGAACGCUAGCGGCAGGCUUAACACAUGCAAGUCGAGGGGUAACAGGAGAUAGUUUACUAUUUGCUGACGACCGGCGCACGGGUGAGUAACGCGUAUACAAUUUGCCUUUUACAGGAGGAUAGCCCAGAGAAAUUUGGAUUAAUACUCCAUGGUAUUACGGGAUCGCAUGGUUUGUAAUUAAAGUUUCGGCGGUAGAAGAUGAGUAUGCGUCCUAUUAGCUAGUUGGUAAGAACGGCUUACCAAGGCGACGAUAGGUAGGGGUCCUGAGAGGGAGAUCCCCCCAACUGGUACUGAAACACGGACCAGACUCCUACGGGAGCAGCAGUGAGAUAUGGUCAAUGGAGCAACUCUGAACCAGCCAUGCCGCGUGCAGGAA